rnacentral:misc_RNA from 1 species
CGCAUAUUGCGCCCUUUGGUAUUCCGAAGGGCACGCCUGUUCGAGUGUCAUUAUCAACCCUCAAGCCUGGCUUGUUAUUGGGCUCUUAUCGUUAAGACGAAUUUUCGUUAAGACUUUGGUUAAGAUGAUCUUUCGUUAAGACUUUAGUUAAGACGAACCUUCGUUAAGACUUUUGUUAAAACGAUCUUUCGUUAAGACGAUAUGCCCCAAAGAUAACGGCGGUGUUAAAAUUAACCCCAGGUGUGACGAGCUACUCAGCAUGCACUGUGGUGGUUGUUUUGACCUUGCCUAGUUAAAAAUUCUUAACUAAGGUUGACCUCGGAUCAGGUGGGAAUACCCGCUGAACUUAA